GAUGAACGCUAGCGGCAGGCCUAAUACACGCAAGUCGAACGGUGUCUUCGGACAUAGUGGCGCACGGGUGCGUAACACGUAUGCAACCUACCUUACAUUGGGGGAUAGCCUUUCGAAAGGGAGAUUAAUACCGCAUAAGACAGUAGCUGGGCAUCCAGCAGCUGUUAAAGAUUUAUCGAUGUAAGCUGGGCAUGCGUCCAAUUAGCUAGUUGGUGAGGUAACGGCUCACCAAGGCAAUGAUUGGUAGGGGAACUGAGAGGUCAAUCCCCCACACUGGCACUGAGAUACGGGCCAGACUCCUACGGGAGGCAGCAGUAGGGAAUAUUGGGCAAUGGACGCAAGUCUGACCCAGCCAUGCCGCGUGCAGGGUGAAGGCCUUCGGGUUGUAAACUGCUUUUGUACGGAACGAAAAGACUCUGGUUAAUACCUGGGGUCCAUGACGGUACCGUAAGAAUAAGCACCGGCUAACUACGUGCCAGCCGCCGCUGUAAUAC
rnacentral:rRNA from 1 species